rnacentral:lncRNA from 1 species
GUAUUGUAGCUUUACUAUGGUUUCUUUGGUUUUUCAUUAACAAGUCAAAAAAGGGACAGCCCCCAUUGCCACCAGGGCCUAAAGCUUUGCCUUUGAUAGGUAAUCUCCAUUCUCUUGAUCCUGAACUUCACACCUAUUUUGCAUCUCUUUCCCAAACUUAUGGCCCCAUUUGUAGACUCUGGCUUGGUAAAAAACUUGGGAUCAUUAUUACUUCGCCUGCCUUAGCUCGCGAGGUUCUUAAGGAUCAAGAUACCAUUUUUGCUAAUAGAGAUGUGCCUGCUGCUGGUAGAGAAGCUACAUAUGGUGGCACUGAUAUAGUUUGGACUCCUUAUGGACCGAAAUGGCGCAUGUUGAGGAAAGUAUGUGUUCGCGAAAUGCUUAGUGGUUCUACUUUAGAUUCUGUUUAUGCAUUGAGGCGACGGGAGCUUAGACAAACGAUCAAUUACUUCUAUAGUCAGGCGGGAUUGCCUGUGAAUAUAGGUGAACAGAUGUUCUUGACUGUGCUUAAUGUGAUUACAAGCAUGUUAUGGGGUGGCACAGUGAAGGGCGAGGAAAGAGCUAGUCUUGGGGCAGAGUUUAGGCAUGUUGUUACUAAGAUGACUGAACUGUUAGGUACUCCAAAUCUUUCUGAUUUUUAUCCGGGCUUGGCCAGGUUUGAUUUGCAGGGUGUUACAAAGAAGAUGAAAGUAUUGGCAAAGAGAUUUGAUAAGAUAUUUGAGAGCAUGAUUGAUAAAAGACAGGAGAUUGAUAGAAAUGGUGGGAUGGAAACUGGUGUUGGCCAAGAAAAUAAGGAUUUUUUGCAAGUUUUGCUGAAACUGAAAGAUGAUGAAGCUGCCAAAAUGCCUUUGACCAUGCCUGAACUCAAAGCCUUACUCAUGGUAUGUUUUCUCAAUUGUGCAUGCUACUACAGGAAAAAUCCAGUAUGUUAACACUUAACUAUGAACCUUGAACUGAACUCCAGUAUCCAGCUCUACAAGUAGUAUGAAUUUUGUUGUACAUGAUAAUAACUUUAAAAAUACUGUGAACAGGAUAUGGUUGUCGGUGGAACUGACACAACCUCCAACACGGUUGAGUUUGCCAUGGCUGAAAUUAUGAACAAGCCAGACGUCCUGAGAAAAUUGCAACAAGAAAUAGAUACAGUUGUGGGUAAAGAUAACAUAGUGGAAGAGUCUCAUAUUCAACACUUGCCAUAUUUCUAUGCAGUUAUGAAAGAAGUCUUGCGUCUACAUCCAGCGCUUCCACUCUUGGUUCCUCAUUGUCCUAGUGAGACAAGCACUGUUGGAGGAUACACUGUUCCUAAAGGAUCUCGUGUUUUCAUAAAUGUAUGGGCAAUACAGAGAGAUCCUUCUAUAUGGGAAAAUCCAACUGAGUUUCAUCCAGAAAGAUUUUUCGAAAAUAAAUGGGACUAUAGUGGAAAUGAUCUCAACUACUUCCCGUUUGGUUCUGGCAGAAGAAUCUGUGCGGGGAUAGCCAUGGCAGAGAGGAUGUUCAUGUAUUCACUGGCUUCACUCAUUCAUUCUUUCGACUGGAAAUUCCCCGAAGGAGAGACAUUAGACCUUACAGAGAAGUUUGGAAUUGUUCUGAAGAAGAAAAUGCCUCUGGUGGCUAUACCUACUCCAAGAUUAUCCAAUCCGACACUGUAUGAGUAAGAUAUGUCUGUAGAGAGACGUGUUCUGCAUGAUGAUUAUAUCUUUUUGUAUGAUGAACUAUGGAAAAGUGCUCCAUGAAAAUAGGAUCUAUUUGAAAUUGAUUGGAAGUUUUCUGUAUAGUUUGUACACAUCAUGAAUAAAUAUAAAAAGGGUGUUUGACAGAUUAGUUAAAUUAUAUACUUUUGUAUUAGCUUAAAAAAAUCCCUAAUUGAAAAGACAAAUUGGAACCAAGGGUGUGUUUGGUAUGAAGGAAAAUGAUUUAUAGUGUUUGAUUUAUGAAUGAAAAAUAUUUUUAAGAAAUAUAUUUUAUUUUUACUAGAGUAGAAAAUAAUUUUUGAAAUUGAAAAUAUUUUUUAAAAAUAAACUUAAAUUUUGUUGAAAAUAUUUUUUAUAAACAAUAAAAAAUUGAUAGCGAGGGGCGAGGGUAGUGGGUGGGGGUAAAAAAUAAAAAUUUGAAAUUAGAAAUAUCUUUUUAAAAUAAUUUUUAAUAUUUUUUUGGGACGGGGUAGGGGUAGGGGUGAGGGUGGGUAAAAAAAUUGAAUUUAAAAACAAGCUUUAAAAUUAUUAUUAUUUUUUGGGGGGAGGGGGGGUGGUUGGGGGGCUGAUUUGAGGGUAGGGACAAAAUAAAUUGAUUUUUUCAACAAAAAAGUAAUUGUAAUAUGAAAUUGAAAGAGAGUUUUGGAAAAUGUUUUCCUUAAGUUUUGAAGGGAAAUCAUUUUCCUUAAAUUUGAGGAAAAUGAAUUGAUUUGAAAAACAUUUAACCCAACCAAAAUGAGAAAAUUAGAAAAUCCUACCAAACACACCCCAAUAAUUGUUUCAUUGGUUUUGCUUUGAAGUUUGAAGCAGCAGGAUUGGGGAGGUAUGUUCAUAUUGUGGUUUUGCAGACUUUCAAGAGUCACUUUUUGUCUUAUCCAACAUAUUUAUAUUCUUCAGCAAAUUUUACUUCCUUUUUAUAUAUAUAUAUGGUGUUAAAGUAUUGAUUUUUUUCUCCCUAAUAUUAAAGCAAUAAUUUAUGAUUGAUCAAGGUUAAAAAAGAAAAUAGUAAUUAUUUUUGAUUUCUGAAAACCAAUUUUUGUUAUUACUCAAAACAGCUACUCUAUUUUUUCAGUGAACCUUAACCAGCAACCUCAAUUCUCUAAAUUAACUUGAAAAAAUAAUAACUUUUAACUGCUCAUAAUUUGGCCAAACAUACUCCAAUAUCCUAUGUGACUAUGAGAAACUUUAAUUUUUGUUUCUCCAAAGAAAAGAAAAGAAAGGAACAGUCCCCAUAUUGAAACAACAAAUUAGAAUCUUACAGGCAUGUUUGGAAAGCCAUCCCGAUAAUUAGAUUUGAUGUAAUUGAGUGUAAUUAUAUUAUCUGACGUGCUUGAUUUAAAUUUGAUGUAAUUGAGUGUAAUUACAUUGUCUGGCGUGUUUGAUUGUCCAUGUAGUUACUUGGUAAUUGAGUGUAAUUGAUAGGGAGAAUUAGACUCUUCAAUUUUCAGGGAGCGGCUGUGAAUUACAAGCUGAUUACUUUUUAAUUUCAUCUUUUUAUUUUAAUUUAUUUUUUAUUUUUAUUAUUCUAUUUUUAAAAAAAGAUUAUUUUAUAUUAUUUAUAUUUCAUUUCCUUCUCAUUCUCAACCUUUACUUCAUAUGAUUCCAUGUAUUUUUCGUAUUAUCUAUCUUUUUAUGGCAUGUUAUUUUUUCAUUAGCAUAAUUUGGUUAGUAUUUGAAUUUUUAAAUUAAAGUAGAAUUCAUUGUUAAGUAAAGUUAUAGACUUACGUUUUUCUUUCUUUUUAAAAUAUAUUUAUGUUUGUUAUGUUGAAAUUUGAUAUAAGAGUAUUGUGUUAAAUAUUUUGUUUGAAUUUACAACUUAUGUUAUAAUUUUAGUUUCAUUUGUUUUAGUAGUAUUGAUAGAUUAUCUUUUUGUCUAAUAUUUUAAUAAUUUAUGAUACUUUAUUUUUAUCAAACAUGCAUUUCACGAUGUUCAUAGAAAUCUUGUACUUUUAGUUUCUUUUUUAUGAUUAAUUCAAUUGAAAUAUACUAAUUUGAAAAAUAUAAAUCAAUUACUUUUUCAUAAUAUUAGUUAAGAACAUAUGUUUAUUAUUAAUAUAUUUUCAAAAGACAAUAUAUAUCUUAAAUAUUUAAUUUAAUAUCAUUUAUAAAGUUCCUUAUUUAUCUAAUAUAAAUUUAAAUAAUUAACUUUUAUUUUUAAAAUUGAAUUCAAACCAUUCAUGUAUAAUUAUACUAUGACAAACAAACAUGUCAGUGUAUUAGUUGGUUGUGUAAGCACUAGUGGAGUUUGUCUCAACAUUUUUUAUUUGGGGGUUCCACUGGAGUAUCUUAAAGUAUUGCAGAAACAUUGUGGAGAGCCAGCAACACAAGAGUUAUCUGUAUGAAAUGAGGUAACAGUAUGUGGCAUACUUAGUUUUACUAUGGUUUCUUUGGUUUUUCAUCAGUAACUCAAACAAGGGACUGCCACCAGGGCCUAAACCUUUGCCUUUGAUAGGUAAUCUCCUCUCUCUUGAUCCUCAACUUCACACCUAUUUUGCAUCUCUUUCCCAAACUUAUGGCCCCAUUUGUAGACUCUGGCUUGGUAAAAAACUUGGGAUUAUUAUUACUUCCCCUGCCUUAGCUCGCGAGAUUCUUAAGGAUCAAGAUACCAUUUUUGCUAACAGAGAUGUGAGUGUUGCUGGUAGAGAAGUUACAUAUGGUGGAACUGACAUAGUUUGGACUCCUUAUGGACCUAAGUGGCGUAUGUUGAGGAAGGUUUGUGUUCAAGAAAUGCUUAGUGCUUCUACUUUAGAUUCUCUUUAUGCACUAAGGAGAAGGGAGCUUAGACAAUCGAUCAAUUACUUUUAUAAUCAGGCAGGAUCACCUGUGAAUAUUGGUGAACAGAUGUUCUUGACUGCACUUAAUGUGAUUACAAGUAUGUUAUGGGGUGGCACAGUGAAGGGUGAGGAAAGAGCUAGUCUUGGGGCAGAGGUUAGGGAUGUUGUGACUAAGAUGAAUGAGCUGUUAGUUACUCCAAAUCUUUCCAAUUUUUACCCGGGCUUGGCCUGGUUUGAUUUGCAGGGUGUUAAAAAGAAGAUGAAAGUGUUGGCAAAGAGAUAUGAUAACAUAUUUGAGAGCAUGAUUGAUCAAAGACAACAAAUGAAUAGAAAUGGUGUUGGCCAAGAAAGCAAGGACUUUUUGCAAGUUUUGCUGAAGUUGAAAGAUGAAGCAGAUCCCAAAAUGCCUCUGACCAUGAUUGAAAUCAAAGCCUUACUUACGGUAUGUUUUAUCAGUUGUGCAUUCAAAUCUGGUACUUACAUUAUAUUUUCAUAAAUAAAAAAUCGUUGUGCAUGAUAAUAACUUCACAAAUACUACGGACAGGAUAUGGUUGUUGGUGGAACUGAAACUAGCGCCAACACAGUUGAGUUUGCCAUGACUGAAAUUUUGAACAAACCAGAUGUCUUGAGGAAAUUACAACAAGAAGUGGAUACAAUUGUGGGAAAAGAUAACAUAGUGGAAGAGUCUCAUAUUCAACAGUUACCAUAUUUCUAUGCAGUUAUGAAAGAAGUCUUUCGUCUACAUCCAGCUCUCCCACUCUUGGUCCCUCAUUGUCCUAGUGAGACAAGCACUGUUGGAGGAUACACUGUUCCUAAAGGAUCUAGUGUUUUCGUAAACGUAUGGGCUAUACAGAGAGAUCCUUCUAUAUGGGAAAAUCCAACUGAGUUCCAUCCGGAAAGAUUUAUGGAAAAAGAAUGGGACUUUAGUGGAAAUGAUUUGACCUACUUCCCGUUUGGUUCUGGCAGAAGAAUCUGUGUGGGUUAGCCUUGGCAGAGAGGAUGCUCAUGUAUUCACUGGCUUCACUUAUUCAUUCUUUCGAAUGGAAAUUGCCUGAAGGAGAGACAUUAGACUUUACAGAGAAGUUUGUGCUUGUUCUGAAGAAGAAAAUGCCUCUGGUGGCUAUACCUACUCCAAGAUUAUCCAAUCCAACACUCUACGAGUAAGAUAGAAAUAUGUCUGUAAAGAGUCGUGUUCUGCAUGGUGAUUUUAUCUUUUGUGUGAUGAACUAUGGAAAUGUGAUCCAUGAAAGAUGUUUCUCUAUCCUGACAAUGGUAUUAUGAGCAACUCAAUGUUCCAUGUGAAAUGGCUAGUUUCCAUGACUACUUAAAUAUUGUAUUCUGAAUCGAAUUUGAAAUAAUAGUACAUGUAUUACUUUGUUGUAGAGAUUAUGCUUCUAUCUUUUGUUUGAUGAACUAUAUAUGGAGAUAUAAUACUUAAACCACAAGGGAAAGUAGUAUUACUAAGCAAAACCUGGAGCAAGUUGUGUGAAAUUAUUUGUAAAAGCUAUGACAUUCUGAAAAGGAUUUAAAAGAGCAUAUUUGUGCUCAAAUAUACCUAAUUUAAUACUAUUUCCUUAUUUGUCUUGUGAACAGGACAGAUAAGGUAUCAAAAGCUGAAGAUUCAUUUGUGUUACACAACAAGGGGCCAUUGACUUCAUUAAAUAUAAAUGUCGAAGUGGAAAAUGGCUUCCCACCACAUUGUUUCUGCCAUCUCUCCCAUUUUUCUCUUAGUCUGAAAUAAUGUCACUCAAAUUCUUUACACCUUUGUUUGAUUCUUUCCCAUGGCCCUGGCAAGAACAAAAUAUUGAGAAAAAUGGUGUAUUUUUCUCCUAUGUUCUUGGUAUUUUAGCUUUAUUAUGGUUUCUUUGUUUUUUCAUCAACAAGUCAAAAAAGGGACAACCCCCAUUGCCACCAGGGCCUAAAGCUUUGCCCUUGAUAGGUAAUCUCCAUUCUCUUGAUCCUCAACUUCACACCUAUUUUGCAUCCCUUUCCCAAACUUAUGGCCCCAUUUGUAGACUUUGGCUAGGUAAAAAAGUUGGGAUUAUUAUUACUUCACCUGCCUUAGCUUGCGAGGUGCUUAAGAAUCAAGAUACCAUUUUUGCUAACAGAGAUGUGCCUGCUGCUUGUAAAGAAUCUUCAUAUGGUGGAAAAGACAUAGUUUGGACUCCUUAUGGACCGAAAUGGCGUAUGUUGAGGAAAGUUUGUGUUCGUGAAAUGCUUAGUGGUUCAACUUUAGAUUCUGUUUAUGCACCAAGGAAAAGGGAGCUUAGACAAUCGAUCAAUUACUUUUAUAAUCAGGCGGGAUCGCCAGUGAAUAUUGGUGAACAGAUGUUCUUGACUGUGCUUAAUGUGAUUACAAGCAUGUUAUGGGGUGGCACAGUGAAGGGUGAGGAAAGAUCUAGACUUGGAGCAGAGUUUAGGCAUGUUGUAGCUGAUAUGACUGAGCUGUUAGGUACUCCAAAUAUUUCCGAUUUUUAUCCGGGUUUGGCCAGGUUCGAUUUGCAGGGUGUAACAAAGAAGAUGAAUGUGUUGGAAAAGAGAUUUGAUAAGAUAUUUGAGAGCAUGAUUGAUCAAAGACAGAAAAUAGAUAGAAAUGCUGAGAUGGGAACUGGUGUUGGCCAAGAAAGCAAGGACUUUUUGCAAGUUUUGCUAAAGUUGAAAGAUGAAUCAGAUGCCAAAAUGCCUCUGACCAUGAUUGAACUCAAAGCCUUACUUAUGGUAUGUUUUAUUCAUCAAGUUUUGUUGUGAGCUGAGCUGUUGUUACAUUCUUCUUCUAUGCAAAUUCACAUUCAUUUGAUAUGCUACUGGUUUCAAAGUUUGGAUUUUACUUCAAAUAGUCUAAUUCCUUACAUAUUACGGAUAUAAAAAAAUGGUUUUUAGUGAUGUUAGUCAUAAUAAGAGGAUCAAUACGAAUAAAAGUGAAAAAUAAGAUAGUAAAUGUACUGAAGAAUUAUUACAUCAGAUGAGUAAAAAUUAUUAGAUGAAUCAGAUUUAUAUAAAUUCAUGUUCUGAACUGUUAGUUGCUACCUUUUUAUUGGAUUGCAUUAAGGAAGACUUAACUGUGAAUUAAGGCAGUGAACCUUAAACUGAAAUCCAAUAUACAGUAUUUGAUAAUAACUUCACAAAUACUGUGGACAGGAUAUGGUGGUUGGUGGAACUGACACAACCUCCAAUGCGGUUGAGUUUGCCAUGGCUGAAAUUAUGAACAAACCAUACGUCCUGAGGAAAUUACAACAAGAGCUAGAGACAGUUGUGGGAAAAGAUAAUAUUGUGGAAGAGUAUCAUAUUCAGCAAUUACCAUAUCUUUAUGCAGUUAUGAAAGAAGCCUUGCGCAUACAUCCAACUCUUCCACUCUUGGUGCCACAUUGUCCUAGUGAAACAUGCACUGUUGGAGGAUACACUGUCCCUAAAGGAUCUCGUGUUUUCAUAAAUGUAUGGGCUAUACAGAGAGAUCCUUCUAUCUGGAAAAAUCCAACUGAGUUCCAUCCAGAGAGAUUUUUGGACAGUAAAUGGGAUUAUAGUGGAAAUGAUUUCAACUAUUUCCCAUUUGGUUCUGGCAGGAGAAUCUGCGCGGGGAUAGUCAUGGCAGAGAGGAUGUUCAUGUAUUCACUAGCUUCACUCAUUCAUUCUUUCGACUGGAAAUUGUCUGAAGGAAAGACAUUAGACCUUACAGAGAAGUUUGGGAUUGUUCUGAAGAAGAAAAUACCUCUGGUGGCUAUACCUACUCCAAGAUUGUCUAAUCCAAAACUGUAUGAGUAAGAUUAAAAUGUGUCUGUAGAGAGUCGUGCUCUGUAUGAUGAUUCUCUCUUUCGUAUGGUGAACUAUAGAAAUGGGAUCCAUUUGAGAUUGAUUCAAAGGUUUCGAUACAGUUUAGUACACAUCAAGGGUAUUAAACCUGUAAUUCAAGUGUACCUGAAUUAGCACAUCAGAGAUGAGCUUCCUGUUUGUACGAUAAAAAUUAUUUCCAGUUUUAUUUCAAAUUUGUUUAAGUCAUAGUCAGUUGUUUACUUAAGUUGGAAAAAUCCUUCAAAUCGAAGGUAAGAACCAUAGGAUCGCUAUGAUUCAAAUUGCUCCACUGUAACAAUAAGAGGGUUACAAAUAUUCUCUAAAAAUGGCUACAUAACACUUUAAUGGAUCAAUUACUUUUUUAACCAGGCAAGAUCACCUAUGAAUGUUGGUGAGCAGAUGUUCUUAACCGUACUUAAUGUGAUUACAAGCAUGUUAUAGUUGGAUUUAAUUCUCAAAUUUCACUUAACAGUGUGAAUAUCAAAUGUCCAAUAUUUACCUUCAUGAAGUCAGAUUAAACACAGAGUCACAUUUCUUCUAUGAUCCAUCCACCAUCAAAAUGUUCAUUGACAACUUGUUUACUUCACAAAUAGGUAAAUUGUCCCCCCCCCCUCCGAAAAAAAAAAAGUUUAAAAACAAAAUCUAAUCAAUUAAUUAAAAUGAGUAUUUUUUUUUUUAAAAAAAGAAAUUAGUUUAAAACAAAAGUUAUGUUUCAAUAAAAUAAUUAAAAUGUGUAUCUUAUUAUUUAUUUAAAAAUUUAUUUGAAACAAAAAAAUAUUUCAAAAUAAUUUAAUGAAAAGGUCAUUUAAUUUUGUUGGGCUACUUUCUAAAUAAUUGAGUGACUUUAUAGGUAAAAUAUUUAUAGUUAAGUGACUUUGAGAUAUAAAAAAAAAGUUAAAUGACUUUUUAUGAAAAUAAAUAUUAGUUGAAUGACCAUAUAAAAUAAGCAACUCUUUUGGUCAAAGAGUUCAAUUUUGCUAGCGAUGAAUCCAAAGAAAGAAAGCAUUUUUUUGCUGAAAAUUGAAUGAUAAACAAAAUGCCAAACAAACUUUGCUCCUUUUCACAUUUCUUAUACUACCAAACAAAGUACUUUCUCCGUUUCAAUUAACAUCACGAGAUUCAGGAGAAUACUGGGAAUGUCUAUUUAUAUUCAUUUCAUUCUUUCAGCAAAAUUAAAAAAAAAAAAUCUUCUUCAGAUGUCUCUCAAAUUCUUCAAACCCCUUUUUGAUUCUUUCCCAUGGCCCCUUCAACAACUCAAUGUUGAGCAAAAGGGUGUGUUUUUCUCCUGUUUUCUUGCUUUUUUAGCUUUACUUUGGUUUUUCAUCAGUAACUCAAACAAGAGAUUGCCACCAGGGCCUAAAGCUUUUCCCUUGAUAGGUAAUCUCCAUUCUCUUGAUCCUGAACUACACACCUAUUUUGCAUCUCUGUCCCAAACUUAUGGCCCCAUUUGUAGAAUCUGGCUUGGUAAAAAACUUGGGAUUAUUAUUACUUCCCCUGCUUUAGCUCGCGAGGUUCUUAAGGAUAAAGAUACCAUUUUUGCAAACAGAGAUGUCCC